UACGGAGGGUGCAAGCGUUAAUCGGAAUUACUGGGCGUAAAGGGUGCGUAGGUGGUUUGAUAAGUUAACUGUGAAAGCCCUGGGCUUAACCUGGGAAGGCCAGUUAAGACUGUUGAACUAGAGUAUGGGAGAGGGUAGUGGAAUUUCCGGUGUAGCGGUGAAAUGCGUAGAGAUCGGAAGGAACACCAGUGGCGAAGGCGGCUACCUGGCCUAAUACUGACACUGAAGCACGAAAGCGUGGGGAGCAAACAGG
rnacentral:rRNA from 1 species